rnacentral:rRNA from 1 species
UGGGGAAUAUUGCACAAUGGGCGCAAGCCUGAUGCAGCCAUGCCGCGUGUAUGAAGAAGGCUUUCGGGUUGCAAAGUACUUUCAGUUGGGAGGAAGGUGGUAAGGUUAAUAACCUUAUCAAUUGACGUUACCGACAGAAGAAGCACCGGCUAACUCGGUGCCAGCAGCCGCGGUAAUACGGAGGGCGCAAGCGUUAAUCGGAAUUACUGGGCGUAAAGCGCACGCAGGCGGUUGAUUGAGUCAGAUGUGAAAUCCCCGGGCUCAUCCUGGGAACAGCAUCUGCUACUGGCACGCUUGAGGCUCGUAGAGGGGGGUAGAGUUCCAGGUUUAGCGGUGACAUGCGUAGAGAUCUGGAGGAAUACCGGUGGCGAAGGCGGCCCCCUGGACAAAGACUGACGCUCAGGUGCGAAAGCGUGGGGAGCAAACAGG